UUUCUGUCCACACUCCAUAGCAGUGGUGGCGGUAAUGCACCAUGCAGUUGUUUGCCAACCGCCAAUAAUACGUAAAAGAAGAAGAAGGUCCCCAUGUAGAUUAUUCCUUCUUCGUUCAUGAUGUACUCCUGAAGCUGAGUCUCGUCAGGCAGAUACACCACAUCAUCUGCUCCUUCCUGGUCAGCCUGUACUCACCGAGGUGCAGGACUAGAUCCAAGUGGUGUUUGGGGGGCAAAGAGCCAUUACACUGCACA